CGCAUGGCUGAGGCAGACGCUCUCGGUCCGUUUCGCGGCCAGCGCCUCCGCCGCCUCUGUCUCUUCGUCGCUGGUGUCGCGCCGUCGGAGAAGGAGGGGAAGCAUCGCCUCUCUCUUACGCCGACUGUCACCGUCGCGACAGUCAACCGCCGACGCUCUGUUGCCGCCGGCGCCACCGUGCCACUGGCGACUCGUGCCGCCGCCUUCCGUCUCCGUCAAGCUGCAGCUUCGCCCGCGGCAAGACUCCGCUGCUACUCGUCGCCUUCCAUCGACGUCACGGAGGAACUCUCCGCCUCCCAUCGCACCACCGCCGGACAAUCUCUCUAUAAGCUAAGUUUUUCUGCCUUCUAUUGUUUGGCUCAAUUCGUGGGUUUAUUUAGCAACCUAUGUGAAAUCGAUUCUUGACUAUUGGUGAUGUUCCAGCUUUGAUCUUGUGAGAGUUUGAUUAUUGAGUCCAUUAAUUGGGUUUGUGGCAGAAGCUUUAUGUUGUGAUUCUUGGCAGUAGAAAAGAGAAAUGCUCAAUCUUGUGGAAAUUCCUAUAGCAAGUCUAAGUUCUUGCAUUUGAUUACUGUGGUGAAAGCUUGGUUGUUGAGCAUAAGUGUUGUUGUUCUAUGCUUAUCCUAAAUCCGUUAUUAGUUUACAACCCAGGGGUUUUAGAUACGUGCUUUAACAUACUUUGGGUUGAAAUCCUACAUGAUUGAUAUGUAAAAUUGACUGGGAAAAAGGGUUAGAGGUGGAAUACCUCUUGAAGCUGCGGCUGCCUUGAGGAAAUCAGCUCUUAAAACCUCAGUUUUCUUCCUCUCAAACUUGCUACUGCUUGUUCUUGGUUCUCACUAGAGUUGCUAAAAUUUGAGAUGUGUAGGAGGGUGUUUAAAGGUGGUGUGGAGGGGAUUUUAUAGGCUGGGCUUUGGCGUACUAUGGGGGAAUUAAAUGGGGCUGAUCUCUCUUGUCUUCAUAUCACAACAUAUCUCUCUUUUUCUGAUCAUGCAGCCCCUUUGUCUUAAUGUAGUUUGUUGGCUAGUUUGGGUACUUGGUACUUGGUGAAUAAAUCCCAUUGUUUGAUUGUGGCUAGGUAUAACAGGUGCUGCAUUAGUGAAGGGCUUUGCAGGCUGGACUUGCCCCCUUUUUGGGUAAGUCCUUGGUCUUCAUAGGAAAAGAAAGGUGAGAGAGGAAUCUUAGCUCCCACCUAGCUGCACUUCGAGCGGGCCUGGAUUUGAUGUCUGGGCCGACGGGCUGCCCGAAACGGGCCCUAAAUUGGGCCUGGAGAAAAGGCCCGAAAUGCACUCCACAAUUUAUAUUUUCCUUUCCUUGUUUUCUUUCUUUAAGGACUUUGAUCCAUGUAACCUAUUCCAUUAGUUGUUCAUUUUGUUGCC